rnacentral:rRNA from 1 species
CCUACGGGAGGCUGCAGUGGGGAAUAUUGGACAAUGGGGGCAACCCUGAUCCAGCCAUGCCGCGUGUGUGAAGAAGGCCCUCGGGUUGUAAAGCACUUUCAGUGAGGAAGAACGCCUGGUGGUUAAUACCCAUCAGGAAAGACAUCACUCACAGAAGAGGCACCGGCUAACUCCGUGCCAGCAGCCGCGGUAAUACGGAGGGUGCGAGCGUUAAUCGGAAUUACUGGGCGUAAAGCGCGCGUAGGUGGCUUGAUAAGCCGGUUGUGAAAGCCCCGGGCUCAACCUGGGAACGGCAUCCGGAACUGUCAAGCUAGAGUGCAGGAGAGGAAGGUAGAAUUCCCGGUGUAGCGGUGAAAUGCGUAGAGAUCGGGAGGAAUACCAGUGGCGAAGGCGGCCUUCUGGACUGACACUGACACUGAGGUGCGAAAGCGUGGGUAGCAAACAGGAUUAGAUACCCUUGUAGUC